UACGAAGGGGGCUAGCGUUGCUCGGAAUCACUGGGCGUAAAGCGCACGUAGGCGGAUUGCUAAGUCAGGGGUGAAAUCCUGGAGCUCAACUCCAGAACUGCCUUUGAUACUGAAGAUCUUGAGUUCGGGGAGAGGUGAGUGGAACUGCGAGUGUAGAGGUGAAAUUCGUAGAUAUUCGCAAGAACACCAGUGGCGAAGGCGGCUCACUGGCCCGAUACUGACGCUGAGGCACGAAAGCGUGGGGAGCAAACAGG
rnacentral:rRNA from 1 species